rnacentral:rRNA from 1 species
GACGAACGCUGGCGGCGUGCUUAACACAUGCGAGUCGAACGGAAAGGCCCUGCUUUUGUGGGGUGCUCGAGUGGCGAACGGGUGAGUAACACGUGAGUAACCUGCCCUUGACUUUGGGAUAACUUCAGGAAACUGGGGCUAAUACCGGAUAGGAGCUCCUGCUGCAUGGUGGGGGUUGGAAAGUUUCGGCGGUUGGGGAUGGACUCGCGGCUUAUCAGCUUGUUGGUGGGGUAGUGGCUUACCAAGGCUUUGACGGGUAGCCGGCCUGAGAGGGUGACCGGCCACAUUGGGACUGAGAUACGGCCCAGACUCCUACGGGAGGCAGCAGUGGGGAAUAUUGCACCAUGGGCGGAAGCCUGAUGCAGCAACGCCGCGUGCGGGAUGACGGCCUUCGGGUUGUAAACCGCUUUCGCCUGUGACGAAGCGUGAGUGACGGUAAUGGGUAAAGAAGCACCGGCUAACUACGUGC